AGAGCGGGAGCCCGGAGAUGGGCACUGAGACAAGGGCCCAGGCCCUACGGGGCGCAGCAGUCGCGAAAACUCCGCAAUGCGCGAAAGCGUGACGGGGCUACCCCGAGUGCCGUCCGCUGAGGAUGGCUUUUCCCCGGUGUAAUGAGCCGGGGGAAUAAGGAGAGGGCAAGUCUGGUGUCAGCCGCCGCGGUAAUACCAGCUCUCCGAGUGGUGAGGACAAUUAUUGGGCUUAAAGCGUUCGUAGCCGGCUUAACAAGUCUUCCGUUAAAUCCAACGAUCUAAUCGUUGGUCUGCGGGAGAUACUGUUGGGCUAGGAGGCGGGAGAAGCCGACGGUAUUCUCGGGGUAGGGGUGAAAUCCUGUAAUCCCGGGAGGACCACCAGUGGCGAAGGCGGUCGGCU
rnacentral:rRNA from 1 species